rnacentral:snoRNA from 1 species
ACUCCUUACCCAUCAGAUCUAAACACUGGUCUAAGUGGUUAUAAAAGGAAAAAUUUUAAACUGAAACUGAUUUAAGUUAGUAUUCUGUGACACAUGAGCAAGUUUCAAUAAAAC